CCACCUGACCCCAUGCCGAACUCAGAAGUGAAACGCCGUAGCGCCGAUGGUAGUGUGGGGUCUCCCCAUGUGAGAGUAGGGAACUGCCAGGC
rnacentral:rRNA from 20 species